GCGUGACCAUAGUUCAAUGGUAGAGCUUCUGUCUUGCAUGCAGAAGGUCCCAGGUUUAGACCUGGCAUCUGCA